UACAGAGGGUGCAAGCGUUAAUCGGAAUUACUGGGCGUAAAGCGCACGCAGGCGGUUGGUUAAGUCAGAUGUGAAAGCCCCGGGCUCAACCUGGGAAUUGCAUUUGAAACUGGCCAACUAGAGUACGUGAGAGGGGGGUAGAAUUCCAAGUGUAGCGGUGAAAUGCGUAGAGAUUCGGAAGAACACCAGUGGCGAAGGCGACAUACUGGCUCAUUACUGACGCUGAGGCUCGAAAGCGUGGGGAGCAAACAGG
rnacentral:rRNA from 1 species